AUCGCUUCUGGCUUCGGCUAAGACCAUUUAUAGUAUCUGUUCUAAUCAGCUUAAUAUCUGAUUCGCUUCCACCGGAAGCUUUUCGAUAUUAAACUUCUUUUUGAAAACUGGCAAAGAGUUGGAGCUUGCUUCUCCUUUGCCUCGGGUUGACUCGGAGUUGCACUUUUUCCGAGAACGGCCCAUACCCU
rnacentral:snRNA from 1 species